rnacentral:rRNA from 1 species
ACUGCUCAGUAACACGUGGAUAACCUGCCCUUGGGUCCGGCAUAACCCCGGGAAACUGGGGAUAAUUCCGGAUAACGCAUAUAUGCUGGAAUGCUUUCUGCGUAAAAUGGAUUCGUCUGCCCAAGGAUGGGUCUGCGGCCUAUCAGGUAGUAGUGGGUGUAAUGUACCUACUAGCCUACGACGGGUACGGGUUGUGAGAGCAAGAGCCCGGAGAUGGAUUCUGAGACAUGAAUCCAGGCCCUACGGGGCGCAGCAGGCGCGAAAACUUUACAAUGCGGGAAACCGUGAUAAGGGGACACCGAGUGCCAGCAUCAUAUGCUGGCUGUCCGGGUGUGUAAAAUACACCUGUUAGCAAGGGCCGGGCAAGACCGGUGCCAGCCGCCGCGGUAACACCGGCGGCCCGAGUGGUGAUCGUGAUUAUUGGGUCUAAAGGGUCCGUAGCCGGUUUGGUCAGUCCUCCGGGAAAUCUGAUAGCUCAACUAUUAGGCUUUCGGAGGAUACUGCCAGACUUGGAACCGGGAGAGGUAAGAGGUACUACAGGGGUAGGAGUGAAAUCUUGUAAUCCCUGUGGGACCACCUGUGGCGAAGGCGUCUUACCAGAACGGGUUCGACGGUGAGGGACGAAAGCUGGGGGCACGAACCGGAUUAGAUACCCGGGUAGUCCCAGCCGUAAACGAUGCUCGCUAGGUGUCAGGCAUGGCGCGACCGUGUCUGGUGCCGCAGGGAAGCCGUGAAGCGAGCCACCUGGGAAGUACGGCCGCAAGGCUGAAACUUAAAGGAAUUGGCGGGGGAGCAC